rnacentral:rRNA from 1 species
AUGACGGCUGGCCGGUACGCCAUGGCAUUGGGGGGAGGGGGGCGUCCCAUGCUCCGCCCGUUUGUGUCCGCGCGAGGAGCUCACCCCCAAAGAACUCCUCGGGCGUCCUGCGGGCCCAGGCCGGAGGCGGCAGGCCCCAGCGCGGGGGCCGACAGGAAGGGGUCGAUUCGGAUCUCCGGGGCCGACAACGCGCCUGGCGCCGGCGGGGGACGCGGGAGGGCAGCAGCUCACGGACGAGGAGGCCCCCGCGGCGUGGGGGGCCUCGAGGCCGGCGCGGGCGGCGGGAGGGGGGACUCGCCGUACCAGGGCUAUGAGGUGCAGCGUCUGGCGAGGUUGGUGGACCACGCGCUGCCCUUCUCCCUGCUCCUCCUCGGCGUCUUCAUCCGCCAGCACCUGCAAGGUUUCUUCGUAAUGAUUUGGAUUACCUCAGUCAUGUUCAACUCCAAUGAUAUCUUGCGCAAGCAGACCGCUCUUAAGGCUACAAGGUUGCGGGAGCGACCCUGCCAUUGUCAUGACGGCUGCUCCUUCUGGCUGGAUCGAGGCAUGAAGACCUGUGGGAUCCCCUCCUUCGGCAGGACCUCCUCAUCUGGAGGACUGCAUGUGACGAGUUAA